rnacentral:rRNA from 1 species
GAAAAGAAACUAACUAGGAUUCCCCCAGUAACUGCGAGUGAAGAGGGAAGAGCUCAUCAUUGGAAUCUGGCAGUGUUUUCACUGUCCGAGUUGUAGAUGAGGAGUAGUCCAUCUGGACUGCAUGGGGUCCAAGUACAAUAGGCCGUCAGUGGGACAUCAUAGAGGGUGACAAUCCCGUCCUUGAUGCCAAUGUGCAAGUCCGUUACGAUGGCUAUCUCAGAGAGUCGAGCAGUUUGGGAUUUGCUGCUUAAACAUGGGAGGUAGAUUCCUUCUAAAGCUAAAUACAGGCGAGAGACCGAUAGAGAACAAGUACCGCAAGGGAAAGAUGAAAUAGCACUCUGUGAAGGGAGUCAAAAGACGUGAAAUUGUUGCGAGAGAAGCGAUUCAAGUCAGCGUAGCUAGGCCCAUCAAGCCUCUUGCUUUGGACUAGCUUUGCCAGCGGUCUUGUCCUAAGAGACUUGACUUGUUAAUAUGUCCAGCCUGGUAUGCACAGGUAGCCCCAUCGGGGCCAGUGACAUGGCUGGUGGAAUGGCUUGCAAUCGACCCGUCUUGAAACACGGACCAAGGAGUCUAACAUGUAUGCGAGUAUAAGGGUGGCAAACCCGUAUGCGCAAUGAAAGUGAUUUUCGGUGAUUGAGAAUGGCCUGAUGACCAGACAAGCAAUAUUAUGUCCCUCGUACAGCCAUUGCCCAAGUUCCGUGGUAGAUCCCACGAACAUGGAGUUGGAGCAUACAUGCUAGGACCCGAAAGAUGGUGAACUAUGCCUGGACAAAGCGAAGCCAAAGGAAACUCUGGUGGAGGCUUGUAGCGAUUCUGACGUGCAAAUCGAUCGUCUGAUCUGGGUAUAGGGGCGAAAGACUAAUCGAACCAUCUCAUAGCUGGUUCCUGCCGAAGU